ensembl:lncRNA
UGUUGUUUUGUUUUUGUAUUAUAAAAUUAGGACAUUUUAAAAAUGUUAAUGCAAUCUUUCAUGACCGCAUUAAUCAUCAAGUGGAAUCUGAAUCAGACUCAUCCAAUUCCUUAAAAAUCCCAUCUCUAUUCUUCACUACAGAGUGCAAUCACGUGGGUCAGUUUACUUUCCAUCUGUGUUUGGGAUUCUGUGAGUGAAAAUUACUCUCGGACCGUGUAUGUGCACCUGACUGAAUAUGUGCAUGAUUUAUGAUAGCAUCUUCUACCAAACUAUAAUGCUUGAGGAAACAAGGCAUGAGAAACAUCUGGACUGGGCUUCGUCCCUCUCUAGUUGCAAGCCUGAAGCUAUUAUCAUUGCUGUGUUUACACCCUUCAACAAAGGCCUGGUAAGACGGCUAACUGCAGGAAACAUCUCAGAUAGCUUUCCUCCAUUUAUCUUUCCUCUAAUCUGUCCCGUCUCCAUUCUUCCUACUCCCCAGAGAAGCGCUGACACUUCCUGCACCCUCUCCUAUUGUCACUCCCUCUGGGUUUCUCUUCUCUCCAUUGCCUUCUUUUUCUUUCCGUCCUCACAUGCAUUCUGCUUCUCUCGUUCUCCAGCUGCUUCAUUUCUCCGCUCGUCCUUCUGGUGGAAACAGAUCCUGCACAUUCUUGUAUGCGAUUAAGCUGUAGGCACUCAAAACGGACGGCCCUUGGCUUUCCAGCACAGCCGAGCUAUCAUUCAACCUCACAUAUCCGCUCUGUUUCGCUCUUGCUCUCUACAUGCUCCAUAUGCUGCUUACACAAAGUAAAGGAGUGAGGGAAAGUCAAUGAGGAAGCGCAGCAAGAGGAAGUAUCAUUCCUUCUAAACUUCAGACUGAUCAGAAGUCAGAACAGCCAUCUCUUAGGAUCCCUGCACACUGAAAAAGAGCAGUAAACUUAACAUCGAGCUGUUCUGCAAUCACAUCUUUGUAUAAUGCCAAUGGCAGGCAUCUGCUGUAAGACAUGCUGCUCUGUUUGAUAAGUCUUAAUCUACACCAAAGCAAAAAACAUCAGUCCACUGAGCAUAAACACCAAACACUGAAGUCAUAUUAGACUGAGGCACUGCUGAAAUUUCUCCUGAGCUUGAUGUGGAGGAGAGGGAGUGCACUGGUGUUUGGUUACCCCCGCUGAGAGCAGCUGCUGGAGUGACUAGGUAAAGUAAAGCUGUGCUGUUG